rnacentral:rRNA from 1 species
CCUACGGGUGGCAGCAGUGAGGAAUAUUGGUCAAUGGGCUUACGCCUGAACCAGCCAAGUCGCGUGAGGGAAGACUGCCCUAUGGGUUGUAAACCUCUUUUGUCAGGGAGCAAUUGGCGCUACGUGUAGCGUUAUCGAGAGUACCUGAAGAAAAAGCAUCGGCUAACUCCGUGCCAGCAGCCGCGGUAAUACGGAGGAUGCGAGCGUUAUCCGGAUUUACUGGGUGUAAAGGGAGCGUAGACGGCAGCGCAAGUCUGGAGUGAAAUGCCGGGGCCCAACCUCGCUCCGCCGUUGAAACUGGCGUUCUUGAGUGGGCGAGAAGUAUGCGGAAUGCGUGGUGUAGCGGUGAAAUGCAUAGAUAUCACGCAGAACUCCGAUUGCGAAGGCAGCAUACCGGCGCCCAACUGACGCUGAAGCACGAAAGCGUGGGUAUCGAACAGGAUUAGAUACCCCAGUAGUC